UUUGUUUUGGAUGGGGAGGAGGAGCAACUUCUACAUUCAUCAUCAUCAACGGCAGCAGCAUGCUCUUCGUUGAGCCAGUGGUGCACUCUUUUCUCCUACUUUGGAUAGGGGUCUGUCGUGCUCCAUCUUCUCUCUUCUUUUCUGUGUCACUCUCCAUCUUCCUGAAGCCUUUGGGACUCUGUUUCUGGAGUUGCUUGCCUGUGUGAAGGUGCUUCUGGAAAGAUAAAUCAGAAAGAAGUCUUACACGAGGAGCAGCAACGUGUACUCGUCUGGUGGACUCCUUCAUCCUCUUUCUUGAUUCCAUAGUAGUAGUAUUAUGCGACUGUGGUGUUCCUUGUUUAUCCAAUUGUUGAACCAAGUCAGUUUUCUUCAACUCCGUGCCGCUUUCCGUUAUUGAAUUGUUAUUGUUCUGUUUCUCCAGAG
rnacentral:misc_RNA from 1 species